rnacentral:rRNA from 1 species
CAAGAGGAAACCUAGCCGCGUUCUCCUCUGUGGCACGCAACCUUUGUCCCCUCUAGAUAUAGAACAACACGCCUCGUCCACCCAUACCUCUAGAAGUCUAGAUCUAGGCCUGACCCGUAGUUUUCUGAUCGUGUUCGCUUCGAUCUCGGGGUAAGCUGAGUUCGGCGUCCAUGAUUUGUUCCUAUCACCCGUUUGUUAUCUGAUUCUCAGGUUUCUCCUUCUGAUCGGCGAGUUGGGGCUUGCGGCGAUCUUGGAGCAUAGACGGGAGGCAAGCUGGAUCUGCGCACGGAAGCUUCCGAUCUGACCGGCUGGCGUCUCAGAUCUGCUGCUGGUCUGAUGCUAAACGGCGGAUCUAGAUGUUCCCGGCGGUCUCAGUAUGUUGCAGCGGCGGGCCCGGAGGGGCUCUCUCCGGCGAGUACGUGGGAUCCCGUCUGCUCCUCCACCCCGUGCGACGACGGCCGACGGCUCUUUGUGUUGAUAAUUAUUCGAUGCUAUGUCGAUAAUUAUUAGAUCUAAGAGAUCGGAGGUGACGUAAGGUAAGAAGAUGUAGCAAGCGAGGUGCUUGUGGAGAGGUCGGAGGAGAGUGAAAAAAAAGAGAUGUGAACAUCUAGAGGCCUUUGCCAUGUUGGGUGCGCUCGCAUGGCAGGCCGCCACCAUAAUAAAGAUGUUUUUUUGUCUCGGGGGGAGAUCGCACGGGGGUUAUCUUGUUUUAGCCCCGGGUUCUCCCCCCUGUGUGCUGGUGUGCUCCUUUGUCCGCACCCCUCGUCCGAUCCGACUACAUGGCACAACGUUCUACCGUCGCAAAUCGUUCAUGGAGCUACCCUCGAAAGACCAAAGCUUGAACAGCUGUAAGUGGUCCGUGUAUUACCCAAAUGAAGCUUACAGUACAAUUAUCGCUGCACCG